rnacentral:tRNA from 1 species
GCCUCUAUAGCUCAGUGGUAGAGCAUUUGCUUCGUAAGCAAAGGGCCGAGGGUUCAAAUCCCUCUAGAGGCU